GACGAACGCUGGCGGCGUGCCUAAUACAUGCAAGUAGAACGCAGUUGCGAACGGGUGAGUAACGCGUAGGUAACUUCCUCAUAGCGGGGGAUAACUAUUGGAAACGAUAGCUAAUACCGCAUACUGUGCGAUGGACCUCCGUGGUAUUAGCUAGUUGGUGAGGUAAAGGCUCACCAAGGCGACGAGAGAUAGCCGACCUGAGAGGGUGCUCGGCCACGCUGGGACUGAGACACGGCCCGGACUCCUAGGGAGGGCAGCGGUGGGGAAUCUGCGGCAAUGGACGAAAGUCUGACCGAGCAACGCCGCGUGAGUGAAGAAGGUUUUCGGAUCGUAAAACUCUGUUGUUAGAGAAGCGGUAUCUAACCAGAAAGCCACGGCUAACUACGUGCCAGCAGCCGCGGUAAUAC
rnacentral:rRNA from 1 species